UGAAUGCACCUGUAUUUAUGGUUACGCUCCACCUCCCUUUGGUUUGUUCCAUUGAGCCUGACAAACUCCAGCCUGAUGGUAAGGCAACAAUUUCUGAAAGUAUGGCCUCAGAAAGGCAUCAGCAGACUGAGGCAGAGAAGCGGAAAAAGAAGAAACUGGGAAAUUAUGCUCGUAAAUGGCUUGCAGGGUCAAUGCGGAAAUCUGUGCAUAGAGGAGGAACCCAGGACCAAGUGGAAGACACUGACCAUCAACCAGCAGUUCAGUUACGCAAGAUAAACCACACAACCAGCAGGUCUAAAGACUAAAGACAGCAGGAAAAGUACCUAGCCCUGACCGACAACCAUCAACCAUCACCAUGAGGUAUGGUAAACCACACACAACCAGCAGGUCAGAAAUGGUAAACCACACACAACCAGCAGUGCUGAAGGCACAGCAGCAUCCGCACUUUUGUCACAUCAGCCAUCAGGAAGUGAAGCUGAAAAGAGCAGUAUGUCCCUCCAGCUGAUCCUAGACUGUUAUUGUAUAGUUCUGGUUGUCUUAUUUGUAACACAGAUACUGAGAUUUUAAAUUUAAAGAGGAUUGCACCCAAAUGGCCAGCAGUGGCCCUGUGCGGAUGACCCACACUUUGUUUUGUGCAUCACCAACUUUAGGGGAAAACUAAAUACAUUUAUUAGGAGGAAUGUUCUUGCUAGCUCUACAGCACUCAUUUUAUCUGUAGACGGAAUAUCAGUUGAGCAGGUCACCAACACCAAAUCAGUGGGUAUUAAACAAGAUAAUUAACAGACAGAGCUUCAUUAAACUGGAGAGCCUUUAAAAAUUAAACACAUCCACAAUGUAGAUGCAGUGAUAUGAUUAAAUAAAUACUCACAGAGAAGACACAGGAGGCUCUCCUGAAGAAAGUCUAAAUCUCUGUUGGGGGUGCAGUGGUACAGCUGUUGGUCUUUGGUUAUUAGAGGUCUGAGAACAUUUUGUGGAUAUAUAUUUACAAAUGUGUGGUCAAAGAUAAUCACAAAGGGAAGCACAGUUUCCUAACGUGACUUUUGCUGUGGAAUGUUAAUGGAUGGUUUUCAGGGGGUUCAGUGGAAUUUUCACACACCGUAGUAAAAGUCUUCACCUUGUUUAAGUUGUUCUGUAGUGCCCAACACUGUAGUUGUUGUUUGCUUCACAGCAGAUUAGCAUAGCUGUGCAUGAGAUGAGAUUUUACACCAAGGAGAUUAAAAUUCUGAGUGGAAGCUAAACAUUUCAUCAGCAGUUGUUCACUUUGAUUGGAACGUGCAAACUUCUGAUCUGGAGUCUGACGCACAACCAUUGCGCCAAGAUGUCCACAGUCCUCAGAGCAAGGUCAUAAGGAGUCAGACAUGUGCUCUCAACCUAAAUCAAAUACUGUGAGCUUCAGUCCCGGUCUUUGAAUUUCAAUUUACCACAGCUGCCUGAAUCUCAGAGACUGGAAAUGUCAUAAAAUGAGCACUUUGUGCAGUUUGUAUAUUCCACCAAAGUUGCUGAAAGUCAUGAAAGGAGUAGUUUGUAUAUUCUACCUCUAUCUAUCUUUUCAAAGUCUCUCAAAGUUCAGUAAUGACUUCAAAUUCACA
ensembl:lncRNA